rnacentral:tRNA from 1 species
GCGAAAGUGGCGGAAUUGGUAGACGCGCUGGAUUUAGGUUCCAGUGGGGCAGCCCGUAGGAGUUCGAGUCUCCUCUUUCGCA